CCUACGGGUGGCAGCAGUGAGGAAUAUUGGUCAAUGGGCGCGAGCCUGAACCAGCCAAGCAGCGUGAAGGAUGACUGCCCUACGGGUUGUAAACUUCUUUUAUAAAGGAAUAAAGUGCGGCACGUGUGCCUUUUUGUAUGUACUGUAUGAAUAAGGAUCGGCUAACUACGUGCCAGCAGCCGCGGUAAUACGUAGGGGGCAAGCGUUAUCCGGAUUUACUGGGUGGAAAGGGGGCGCAGACGGGGAUGCAAGCUAGGAGUGAAAUCCCGGGGCCCAACCCCGGGACUGCUCUUGAUACUGGGUGGCUGGAGUGCAGUAGGGGUAGGCGGAAUUCCUGGUGUAGCGGUGAAAUGCGUAGAUAUCAGGAGGAACACCGGUGGCGAAGGCGGCUUGCUGGACUGCAACUGACGUUGAGGCCCGAAAGCGUGGGGAGCAAACAGGAUUAGAUACCCCAGUAGUC
rnacentral:rRNA from 1 species